rnacentral:hammerhead_ribozyme from 1 species
AUCCAGCUGAUAAGUCUUAAAUAGGACGAAAAAUGUAUCCUGGAU